GUGUAUGGCCUGGAUCUUUUUGGUCUCUCUCUCUCUCUCUCUCUCUCUCUCUCUCUCUCUCUCGUGUGUGUGUGUGUGUGUGAGAGAGAGAGAGAGAGAGAGAGAGAGCGCUCCAGAAGGGUAGGAAUAGAGU